GUGCGGUUACAAGCAUCUUGGUGCCCUGUAAGUCAAUAUGUUAGCUAAAUGUAUGUUAGGAGUAAGCAUGUCAAAACAUGUUAGGAUAAAGCUUACUAUAAUAGAUUAUUGCUGCAGUGGACAAAAUUACCUGUAGGAUUAGUUGCAAUAUCUUCCGUCUUCCCAGGUCCCAACAAUUCUGAUCUUGAAUCUUUGUCAUGUGUUGGGUUUUACAGACAAGUUUCUGGAAUAAAGUGUCAUGAGGAACUGACUGCGAUUAGUAAAUUCCAAUAUCAGAUGUGGAGUUAGAUUCUUAGUAGUAGGUCACUUUUUAUUUUCUUUAGCGUA
rnacentral:lncRNA from 1 species